rnacentral:rRNA from 1 species
UACGUAGGUGACCAGCGUUGUCCGGAUUUACUGGGCGUAAAGAGCUCGUAGGCGGUCUGUCGCGUCGAAUGUGAAAACCCGGGGCUCAACUCCGGGCUUGCAUUCGAUACGGGCAGGCUAGAGUUCGGUAGGGGAGUCUGGAAUUCCUGGUGUAGCGGUGAAAUGCGCAGAUAUCAAGAGGAACACCGGUGGCGAAGGCGGGACUCUGGGCCGAUACUGACGCUGAGGAGCGAAAGCGUGGGGAGCGAACAGG